rnacentral:rRNA from 1 species
AGAGUUUGAUCCUGGCUCAGGAUGAACGCUAGCUACAGGCUUAACACAUGCAAGUCGAGGGGCAGCAUGUUGGUUGCUUGCAACCGAUGAUGGCGACCGGCGCACGGGUGAGUAACGCGUAUCCAACCUACCCUUGUCCAUCGGAUAACCCGUCGAAAGGCGGCCUAACACGAUAUGCGGUUCACAGCAGGCAUCUAACGUGAACGAAAUGUGAAGGAGAAGGAUGGGGAUGCGUCUGAUUAGCUUGUUGGCGGGGUAACGGCCCACCAAGGCAACGAUCAGUAGGGGUUCUGAGAGGAAGGUCCCCCACAUUGGAACUGAGACACGGUCCAAACUCCUACGGGAGGCAGCAGUGAGGAAUAUUGGUCAAUGGACGAGAGUCUGAACCAGCCAAGUAGCGUGCAGGAUGACGGCCCUAUGGGUUGUAAACUGCUUUUAUAGGGGGAUAAAGUGUGCCACGUGUGGCAUAUUGCAGGUACCCUAUGAAUAAGGACCGGCUAAUUCCGUGCCAGCAGCCGCGGUAAUACGGAAGGUCCAGGCGUUAUCCGGAUUUAUUGGGUUUAAAGGGAGCGUAGGCCGUUUGGUAAGCGUGUUGUGAAAUGUCGGGGCUCAACCUGGGCAUUGCAGCGCGAACUGCCAGACUUGAGUGCGCAGGAAGUAGGCGGAAUUCGUCGUGUAGCGGUGAAAUGCUUAGAUAUGACGAAGAACUCCGAUUGCGAAGGCAGCCUGCUGUAGCGCAACUGACGCUGAAGCUCGAAAGCGUGGGUAUCGAACAGGAUUAGAUACCCUGGUAGUCCACGCGGUAAACGAUGGAUGCUCGCUGUUUGCGUCUGACGUAAGCGGCCAAGCGAAAGCGUUAAGCAUCCCACCUGGGGAGUACGCCGGCAACGGUGAAACUCAAAGGAAUUGACGGGGGCCCG